GAUGAACGCUAGCGGGAGGCCUAACACAUGCAAGCCGAGCGGUAGAGAUCUUUCGGGAUCUUGAGAGCGGCGUACGGGUGCGGAACACGUGUGCAACCUGCCUUUAUCUGGGGGAUAGCCUUUCGAAAGGAAGAUUAAUACCCCAUAAUAUGUUGGAUGGCAUCAUUCGACAUUGAAAACUCCGGUGGAUAGAGAUGGGCACGCGCAAGAUUAGAUAGUUGGUGAGGUAACGGCUCACCAAGUCUGCGAUCUUUAGGGGGCCUGAGAGGGUGAUCCCCCACACUGGUACUGAGACACGGACCAGACUCCUACGGGAGGCAGCAGUGAGGAAUAUCGGACAAUGGGUGAGAGCCUGAUCCAGCCAUCCCGCGUGAAGGACGACGGCCCUAUGGGUUGUAAACUUCUUUUGUAUAGGGAUAAACCUACUCUCGUGAGAGUAGCUGAAGGUACUAUACGAAUAAGCACCGGCUAACUCCGUGCCAGCAGCCGCGGUAAUACGGAGGGUGCAAGCGUUAUCCGGAUUUAUUGGGUUUAAAGGGUCCGUAGGCGGAUCUGUAAGUCAGUGGUGAAAUCUCACAGCUUAACUGUGAAACUGCCAUUGAUACUGCAGGUCUUGAGUGUUGUUGAAGUAGCUGGAAUAAGUAGUGUAGCGGUGAAAUGCAUAGAUAUUACUUAGAACACCAAUUGCGAAGGCAGGUUACUAAGCAACAACUGACGCUGAUGGACGAAAGCGUGGGGAGCGAACAGGAUUAGAUACCCUGGUAGUCCACGCCGUAAACGAUGCUAACUCGUUUUUGGGCUUUCGGGUUCAGAGACUAAGCGAAAGUGAUAAGUUAGCCACCUGGGGAGUACGAACGCAAGUUUGAAACUCAAAGGAAUUGACGGGGGCCCGCACAAGCGGUGGAUUAUGUGGUUUAAUUCGAUGAUACGCGAGGAACCUUACCAAGGCUUAAAUGGGAAAUGACAGGUUUAGAAAUAGACUUUUCUUCGGACAUUUUUCAAGGUGCUGCAUGGUUGUCGUCAGCUCGUGCCGUGAGGUGUUAGGUUAAGUCCUGCAACGAGCGCAACCCCUGUCACUAGUUGCCAUCAUUAAGUUGGGGACUCUAGUGAGACUGCCUACGCAAGUAGAGAGGAAGGUGGGGAUGACGUCAAAUCAUCACGGCCCUUACGCCUUGGGCCACACACGUAAUACAAUGGCCGGUACAGAGGGCAGCUACACAGCGAUGUGAUGCAAAUCUCGAAAGCCGGUCUCAGUUCGGAUUGGAGUCUGCAACUCGACUCUAUGAAGCUGGAAUCGCUAGUAAUCGCGCAUCAGCCAUGGCGCGGUGAAUACGUUCCCGGGCCU
rnacentral:rRNA from 1 species